UACGUAGGGCGCAAGCGUUGUCCGGAAUUAUUGGGCGUAAAGAGCUCGUAGGCGGUCUGUUACGUCCGCUGUGAAAACCCAGGGCUUAACCCUGGGCUUGCAGUGGAUACGGGUAGACUAGAGGCAGGUAGGGGAGAAUGGAAUUCCCGGUGUAGCGGUGAAAUGCGCAGAUAUCAGGAGGAACACCAAUGGCGAAGGCAGAUCUCUGGGCCGUAACUGACGCUGAGGAGCGAAAGCAUGGGGAGCGAACAGG
rnacentral:rRNA from 1 species